rnacentral:rRNA from 1 species
AGUGAACGCUGGCGGCGUGCCUAAUACAUGCAAGUCGAACGGAGUGGCGCACGGGUGAGUAAUGUAUAGCUAAUCUGCCCUACACUAGAGGACAACAGUUGGAAACGGCUGCUAAUACUCUAUAGUGUAGGAUGAGGCUAUAUUGUAUCAGCUAGUUGGUGAGGUAAUGGCUCACCAAUGAUAUGACGCAUAACUGGUCUGGGAGGAUGAUCAGUGAAAAUGGCAAGAAGCCAACGGUCAGACACCGACGGGAGGCAGCAGUAGUGAAUAUUGCUCAAACGGGCCAACCGUGAAGAAGCAACGAAGCGUGGAGGAUGACACUUAUCGGAGCGUAAACACUUUUUGUUAGGGAAGCGGUACCUAACGAAUAAGCACCGGCUAACUCCGUGCCAGCAGCCGCGGUAAUAC